GAUUCGAUGAAACCUAAAGCCAA
rnacentral:siRNA from 1 species